GUUCUUGUAGUUGAAUAACGACGGUGGUUUUUCCAGUCAUUGGUCUAAGUUAAAGUCUUAGUAGGAAUG
rnacentral:tRNA from 1 species